GGGACGUUAGCUCAGUUGGCUAGAGCGCUUCGUUGACAUCGAAGAGGUCGUAGGUUCGAGUCCUAUACGUCCCACCA
rnacentral:tRNA from 1 species